AUGGGUCGGCGGUCCAGGGGAGGAAAGACGGGAGGCGCGGCCACGGCUUCUGGUAAGACGGCUCUCGGACUCUCUCAUGGGUCUGAGCUUCGGGCUUGGCGGGGUUCGGGGGAGGAUGGUUGGACUGGAGGAGGAGGUAGAGCGCGAAGGAGACGGCGUGGACGGCGAACACGACGACGAGGAUGCACGGGACGAGGCGGCGGAGCCUCUGGCCGUGGCUUUGGUGGUGAUUGCGCCCGGCCAUCAUCGCCGGCCGCCGGAGUGUCCUCCGCGCCGUCGGGGUUCCGUAGAUCCGGGGCCUGUGUGUACUCGGAGACGAUGGGGGGGAAGAGGAAGCCGUUACGCGUGUCGCAGGUGAGCUGUCGCCGGAGACAUCGCAUCGCCAUAGCGGUGGGCUGA
rnacentral:rRNA from 1 species